GUCAACCGCCUCUCCUGAAUCAGAGAUUCAGAAUGGGCUUGUAAAGGCCCAAGUUGACUAUCCUAAGUCUUAACUGACUAAUGUGGAUACCUUUAUGUAAUCGCCAGUCCAAAGCUCUAUCGUGGUUCUGUAAAAGCUCUGUGAGGUAGGAAAUGAUAUGACAAAAAUUGAAUAUAUUCGUUGCAAACAAAUUAUCACCGGUAAUCCAUGCC
rnacentral:sRNA from 1 species